UGGGGAAUAUUGGGCAAUGGGGGAAACCCUGACCCAGCAACGCCGCGUGAAGGAAGAAGGCCUUCGGGUUGUAAACUUCUUUUAGUAGGGACGAAGAACGUGACGGUACCUACAGAAAAAGCAACGGCUAACUACGUGCCAGCAGCCGCGGUAAUACGUAGGUUGCAAGCGUUGUCCGGAUUUACUGGGUGUAAAGGGCGUGUAGGCGGAGAAGCAAGUCAGGAGUGAAAUCCAUGGGCUCAACCCAUGAACUGCUCUUGAAACUGUUUCCCUUGAGUAUCGGAGAGGCAAGCGGAAUUCCUAGUGUAGCGGUGAAAUGCGUAGAUAUUAGGAGGAACACCAGUGGCGAAGGCGGCUUGCUGGACGACAACUGACGCUGAGGCGCGAAAGCGUGGGGAGCAAACAGG
rnacentral:rRNA from 2 species